AUUUCUCUGAGAUGUUUGCAAGCGGGCCCGUCCCCUGAGCCGAUAUUUAAUACCACCAGAAUGUGGUGCUCCAGAGUCUGUGUGCAUGCUCGGUCCGUCCGAGAAGCCUGAUGAUUUUGACGCUGCAUUCACCUUGAACCAAGGGUUCAAGGGUUACAGCCUGCGGCGGCAUCUCGGAGAUUCC
rnacentral:other from 1 species